rnacentral:ncRNA from 1 species
UGUUCUACUAUACGUUAAUUCAAUAAAACACCAUUCAUGCGCGUCACUAUUAGACCGACGGAAGCCGGCGCUCUUCGGAGUGUCCUGCAAAUACCGAAUCUAGCCAAAUGCCUCGUCAUCUAAUUAGUGACGCGUAUGAAUGGUUCAACAAGAUUCCUUUUGUCCCUAUCUACUAUCUAGCGAAACCACAGCUAAAGGAACGGGCUUGGCAAAAUCAGCGGGGAAAGAAGACCCUGUUGAGCUUGACUCUAGUCUGACUCUGUGAAGAGACAUGAAAGG